GAUGAAGAACGUAGCGAAAUGCGAUAAGUAGUGUGAAUUGCAGAAUUCAGUGAAUCAUCGAAUCUUUGAACGCACAUUGCGCCCUUUGGUAUUCCUUAGGGCAUGCCUGUUCGAGCGUCAUUUAAACCUUCAAGCUCAGCUUGGUGUUGGGUGACUGUCCGCUUCACCGCGGACUCGCCUCAAAAUUAUUGGCGGCCGGUACAUUGGCUUCGAGCGCAGCAGAAACGCGAACUCGGGCCCGUCGUAUUGGCUCCCAGAAGCUAUCUUCACAAUUUUGACCUCGGAUCAGGUAGGGAUACCCGCUCAACUUAAGCAUAUCAAUAAGCGGAGGA
rnacentral:misc_RNA from 1 species